rnacentral:lncRNA from 1 species
UGCUGUGGGGGGAGGGGGUUGUUCAAGGGAUGGGGACGAUCAGGGUCUCUGGGAAGUGCUGACGUGUGCGCGUGUGCGGUGUGUUGCUUGUGGGUGCGUGUGUGGUGUGUGCAUGUGUGUGCGCGCGCGUGUGUGCGGGGUGUGCCGUGAGCGUGUGCCCGCGGUUCGGGGGAUGAGUAGGGGCGCUGACUUUUAGGACCAGCCAUUUGAGUCAAGCUGGAGACGACGUCUUAGAACCUAGGAUGAGUCUCGUUUGGUUUUAGUCUGCAAAGCUCGUCUGCAUCAGACAGGAAUUUUCCCCAGACGCGGGUGCACGUGAAUUAAUUCAUCAGAAGGCGGUUCACGGCCUGAGUGAGGGGGACGAGGGCGGCGAAUUCCUCCGCCUCAUUCCUACCCUGACGAUUCGAGCCUUAGCAAGUUCUGGCCUGUGGAGCCGUCAUCCAGAGCGCACAGCUUCAUGCCCUUGAAGGGCGCAGUGUGUCCCGUGGUGCCCGGUGGGCCCGGACAGAGACCCCAGAGGCUCUGUCUGAAGGAAGCUGCACCCACAGACUCCAUCCAGGCAGCGCGGGCGCGGUCCUGUCGCCUACCUUUCUCGGAAGCCAUCUGCCCAUGUGAAUCUAUGUGAAGGCCCUUCAUGCGCUCCUGGACAUCUGCGUGGGAUUUACUUCAACUGCUAUCGCUGCGAGGAGGACGAGCAUGUUUCACUGUAUUUUUAGCAGAGAGUGCAGAUUUUAGAACCUCGCGAACGGUCCUGUAUCUCCUGCACGAUGACUCUCCAGAACAGGAAUAGUGACCCUUCCUUUGCAUUUAUGGUGCAUAGGUUUUCAAAGGACAGUGUGUAAAUCAGCUUGUGUAAUAAUUGUGGCACCCACGCGCGCAAGCAGACUUACCAUGAGCUGACUUCCACUGAUUAUUUCAGUUUCCAGGGAAACGAGGUUUGCAGCCCCCUCCAGUGAGGGCGGAGCGGCCUCUCCAUUCCCAAUGCAGCAAGGCUGCUGCAGCCACGAUGAUUAGGCUUUGGAGGAGGAAGUGAACGGAUGGGGCCUCAUCCUCCUGCCUCCCUAAAGGGUGAGGGUGGAAGGAUGGGGCUGUGCCCUCUUAGGGCAGGGAAAAACAGCUUGGAGGGGUUUCUGCCAUCAGAGAUCCCAUAGGAGGCAGGUCAGUCCUGCAGAAUUUCUCCCCAGUCUGGCCUCCAGCCUCCCUGGCCCCUUUCUAGAGGCCUCCAUCCCACUGGCGGCUUGCUCCUGCCACCGGGCCUCUGCACAGUCACCUCCUGCAGCCUGGGGUGUGUCGCCUCUCCACGUCCUCACCGGCGUCUGCCUUUGCAUUUCCCAGAUGCUCGCUUCACCCCACUGAGAUGUAACUCAGUUUUGUGGGAUCCCACUGCCCUCCAGGUGCCGCUCCGAGUGCUCUACACAGAUUUUCAUUCAGUCCUUGCGGCACACGAAGGUAGGCGGCCCCACUGCCCUCACAGAGGCUUCCCAUGCAGGAGCCAGUGACUGGCGGAGCGCCGCUCACACUCAGGCUCCGCGAACUGCCUCCCUGCCCUCCCCUGCCCCGGACAGACGGUCCUCCAUAAGAGGCAGGAUUUCCCUGUGGUCCAAAGGUGUGUGUCCCUGCCACAUUGGGAGUUCAGCUCACUGCGGUCCUGUCCAGCUUGCCCCCGUCUCCCAUCCACAUCAGGAUCUGGCUUUGCCCCAGCUAUGUGGAAUGAGUGCAUGAACAAAUGAAUGGGUGGGUUGCUCCAUCUUGUGACAGGACAGCAAAGUCAGCUGGUUCUGCUCCUACGGCGCUCAGGGUCAGGUGAGACAGGCCGGCCCGCAGGCAGACAGGCCCUCAUCUCUGUAUUGGGGGUGGGGAAGGGGCUCUGGCAGGGCGCAUGCCCCAGCAGCAGGAACGUCAAGAGCAGAGGCCCUGGAGGAGACAGCCCGGAGCUGGCGCACAGUAAAGUCUUCAGAUAGGAGGGGCAGAGUGAGGGUGCCACCGUCGGGCAGCAGGUGCCCACCCAGAAGGGUCUUUGAGCCUUGCGGGGAAGUUCAGACUUUACCCUGAGGAUAAAGGAGGUCCUGGACCCGCAGGAGGAUGCCCUGGUGGGUCUAGAAGGAGCCCUGCCACUGGGGAGCUGGUGGGGUUUCCGCCCUCACGGUGCAAUCACAGGGUUGCCUGCUUAUCUCCCCCGCCCUUUUCCCAUCACUUCCUGAGACUCUGCAGAUGGUCAGCAGUGUUCCUGAGUGGAUGACAUUGGGUGGGCAGAGAGAGGGGAGGGCAGUCUGUGGUCCCAGUCAUGUAGAGCUUCCUUGUACAGUCUGUGGUCCCAGUCAUGUAGAGCUUCCUUGUACAGUCUGUUGAGCUCACAUACCCUCAAUGGCCCUUCACUCACAGGGAUGGCCUCUGCACUUCAGCUGGUUUCUGACACCUAAAAACAGAAGUGGAAAAGGGAGCAGACGCAGCCACAUUUUGAAAGCUGAUUCGGUUGCUUUCUGGCAGAAUCCCUGCCCCCAAGCACCUGCCAGGCCCACCCAUGAAGCCUCUUCCCACGCCUUAACUCUGCCCCAUGAGGGGACCUCAAGCAGUUGCAGUCUAGUCAGAGUGGCUGUACCAUUUUGCAUUCCCAGACCGAAGUGUGAAAGCUCCAGAUGCCCCACGCCCUCACCAGCCCACGGUGUUGUCAGCCUUAAUAGUGCUGACCAUUCUGCCUGUUAAUAUGAUGAAUUACACUGAUUCAGUUUCAAAUGUCCAACCAAGCUUGCACUCCAGAGAUGAAGCCCACUUGAUCACAUGGAUUAUUCUUUUAAUAUAUGAUGGAUACGACUUGGCUGUUCUUUUGUUGAGGAUUUUUGUGUUUAUGUUAAUGAGGAUAUUAUUUGUAGUUUUCUUUUCUUGUAAUGUUUUUGUCUUUGUUCAGUGUCAGAGUAAUGCCAACUUCAUAAAGUGAGCUGGGAAGUA